AAAUUAUGCCAAGAAAAAAAUUUCAUACAAAUUUUAGCAAAUAAAAACUGAUUCGGGCCGACUAAUAUGAUAGAGAAUAGUUUGCCUCAUUCAAACUAAUGCCGUAUCCAGAUGUCGAUACCUAAUCGUCGUCAUCGUGAAUAGGUAACAGCGUUACGGUCGUUGUUAGGUCGAUGUUUUUUUCGUCGAUUGGAUUGUGGGUGCCCACGUACUUUAAGUUGUCAUGACCCUAAAUUGAAUUAUUUUUUAUAGACGUUCAGAUAUUCUCAAAAAAACUUGUCAUUAUAAUAUAAAAUUAUCUUCAAACAUAUUUUUUAUGACGUUUUUUCACCACUUGCAGGCAAUGGUGAUUUUCACUUACAUAGAGUACUAAUUUGAUUAAGGAAAAAUCAUGUUCAUUCAUAAUUUUCAUUUUAAAAGUGUAUUUAUUCCUUCUGCAAAUCCAUACUGUCAUGCCUAUUCCCCAAUAUCGUCAACGCGGAUAGUCCGUUAGUCGAAAUACUGAAUAAUUAAACAAACCAAAUGGCAUCACUGGUGGUUCUUUUUUCCACUCCGCUAAACUGUCAUCUCAAACAAAAACAAAUGGAUCAUACAACUGCUAUGAAUACAUUCGACUCGUUUGCUUCCAUCAAUCGGUAAGGUAGAAAGAUGAUUUCUCCCAUCACCACAGUGCGGAUUUCCACUUCUAUCACAGCAGCCAACAACAUCCGUUUUCCUGCAGCAGUAACCUACAACCCCUGUUGGCAAUGCCGGGGGACAGCAUUAACAGCAGCAGCAGCAGAAUUUGACCAUGGUAUGGUAUUGCGAAGAACUUUCCCCAUUAGAGGUUCCGUGCUUCGCGCACAUUCAAAAAUCCUCUUCAGACACGAAAACUCAACAAGGAGGUAUUUAUCAACUUGCUCAGCUGAAUUACCACCCCGGAAGAACCCGAAUGCACUGAUUCCGUUGUAUAGUAGAAUGAAAAUAGGUGAGGUAAGCGAACGUAAUCGCAUGAUAUUUUAAUGUUCGCAUUUUUAUCCGGAUCAUACAACUGGUGAGUAGGGAAUUCAUUUCUGCUUUUCACUUACUAAUCAUUUUAUUUUGUUUCGGCUAUGAAUACAUCCGACUCAAUCAAUCGGCGAGUGAGAAAGAUGAUUUCCCUCAUCACCACAUUGCUUAUUUCCACUUCUGUCACACCAGCCAACAGCAUCAGCUUUCCCGCAGCAGUAUCCUUUAAGUCCAGGGUGCUAUUCCGGGGAACAGCAUCAACAGCAACAGCAGGUCCUGGCCAUCGAUAGUAUUUCGAGCAAUUUUCCCCAUCGGAGAUCCCGUGCUUCACGCACAUUGAAGAAUCCUCCUCAGCCACAUAUCUGUGUCAUCAAGGGCAAGGAGGUAUUCAUCAAUGUACUCAGUCGGAUUUGAAUCGUCAAUCCAGACAACCCGGAUGCACCGAUUCCAUUAUAUACCUUAUUUUUAUUAUACAUGGAUUUUUAUUAUUUUUUUUUUCAAUAAAAUGAUUAAAAUCGA